rnacentral:snoRNA from 1 species
AAAACUAUACUUUCGAGGAUCAUUUGUACAGUUCCUCACUAGAGGUUUCUCAGACGGUAUAGAGCACCUGUAACCACAAGGGGGAGCCAGAGCAUCCUCUCGCAGUGUGAAGCCCCUUAUAGGUGAUGCUUUUGCCUUUUCCUUCUACCAUUGAUGACCUUCCUCUUACCCUGUAAGAAUGAGGAGAGGUCACAGGCUGGGUGG